UACGUAGGGGGCAAGCGUUGUCCGGAUUUACUGGGCGUAAAGAGCGCGUAGGCGGAAGCUUAAGUGUGGCCUGAAAGCCCCCGGCUCAACCGGGGAGGGUGGCUGCAAACUGGGCUUCUUGAGGGCGGCAGAGGAGAGUGGAAUUCCUGGUGUAGCGGUGAAAUGCGUAGAGAUCAGGAAGAACACCCGUGGCGAAGGCGGCUCUCUGGGACGGUACUGACGCUGAGACGCGAAAGCGUGGGGAGCGAACAGG
rnacentral:rRNA from 1 species